rnacentral:misc_RNA from 1 species
CACCGAGCAGGCUUCCGUGCA